GGGGUGGGGGGGGAUAACAGCAAACAAGAAGAUAAGUUGUUUUAGUACUCUACCCUCACUCGGAAUUAAGCAGAACAAUAUUAAUGUAGACAUCAUUUUUUGGCACAUGGUAGCAAUUCUUGUCUGGCUGGAUGCAUUUGGGGGUGGGGAGGACCCAGACCGAGGCCAAUGGAUGAUGGACACCAAUACCAGGAGACAAGAGACUGAUGACAACAAAAUUCAUGUGCUGGCCUGCUGGGUUACAGCAGGCUCGCGGACCACUGUAGUCCUAGCCAUAUUUGCUAACCUUACCAAUCUGCAAGGGAAGUUACAUGUUUUUUUCCUUAAAAAAAUAAAGUGCUAGGCACUUCAUACUUACAUCUCCAUUUGAAUACAUCCCUA
rnacentral:misc_RNA from 1 species